rnacentral:lncRNA from 1 species
AUAUAUUGUUUAUUCACCUGCUAGAAUUUGAAAUCACUGUAAUUUGAUAAUUAUAAUAUAUUUGGAUAUUCACAACCAGAAAUUUAAACGAAUCAUAAAAAGGAUUAUAGAAUCAUGGAAAGGCUUCAGUACAUAUUUUUACGAAAUUAACAUUUAACACAUUGAUAUUGAAGAAAAUAAUAGUCAACCCAAUAUCUCAUUUGCAUACGAUAAAUCUCAAACAAUUAUCAACAUAUAAUCCGAUGUCAUAUUUUUACGUUCAGAUGGUGUAUCAUUCCUUCUUUGCCGUCUUCUACAGACAACACAAUAGAAAUAAUUGCCGAAAAUAUACAUUUGAUUAUAGCACUCAAAGGGUUAAGACGCAUUCGUAUCGGAGAGAAGACUUGACCGCGGAAAAAAUAGGACGUGUAUUAAAAAUUAGUCCAAGACGAAUAAAUUUGCGCCGAAAGGGAAAGAUUAACCGAUUCGGGGGGAGCGGUUAUCAAUGAAUUAGAUUUGAUUUCAGUUGGGGACCGAUUAAGAAACGCGAAAUUAACUUUCCAGAAGAAAUGUCUAACAUCUUUACCAUUUCGCAACCUCAAUGACCAAUUUCAUCAUUUAAAAUACCCACACCGAUAUUCGGACCACCAUUUAUACGAUAUGAUAACGAUAUUAAUUUCAACGAAAUAAGUUAUCAAUAAAAAGAUUUGUAGACUUAAUCAACUCUGUUAAAUGCAAACGAAAAUACACAACUUCAUAACAGUGGCAAACCAUUUCCAAUGAUACUUAAAGUGAGACGACAGCGGGAAUUUCCUGGAUGCACACUCUACAACCGAUAAGGAGACUCGAAUCGAAACCGUAAAAACCAUACGAGAAAACAAUCAAGCGCAGCGAUUGUUUAUAUUUUAUUCAAUAAUUUUAAAUGUACUCUGUUGUAUAUGUUAACUGCAAACUCGACACCUCAGAUAAAUUCAUAACUAUCA